rnacentral:rRNA from 1 species
GAUGAACGCUGGCGGCGUGCCUAACACAUGCAAGUCGAGCGACCGGACGAGAAGCUCGUUCCUCUGCUGUUAGCGGCGGACGGGCGAGUAACAAGUGGAUAACAUUCUUAUAAUACUGGGAGAAUUUCGGGAAAACGCUGCCACUACUGCCUCAUAUUUUCAACCGCUUGGAUCAAAAGUGAAAGACAGCUUUGCUGUCACAUAUAGAUGGUUUCGCGUUGCAUUAGUUAGUUGGUAGGGUACCGGCUUACCAAGGCGACGAUGCGUAGCUGACCUGAGAGGGUGAUCGGCCACACUGGAACUGAGACACGGUCCAGACUCCUACGGGAGGCAGCAGUGGGGAAUCUUGGACAAUGGGCGAAAGCCUGACGGAGCAACGCCGCGUGAGUGAAGAAGGUCUUCGGGUCGUAAAACUCUGUUAUUGGGGAAGAACAUAUGUAUAAGUAACUGUGCACGUCUUGACGGUACCUAAACAAAAAGCCACGGCUAACUUCGUG